AUCAUGGCUCAGGAUGAACGCUAGCGACAGGCUAACACAUGCAAGUCGAGGGCAGCAUAAAAGUAGCAAUACUUGGUGGCGACCGGCGCACGGGUGAGUAACGCGUAUGCAACUACCUAUCAGAGGGGAAUAACCGGCGAAAGUCGGACUAAUACCGCAUAAAACAGGGGCACCGCAUGGUGAUAUUUGUUAAAGAAAUUCGCUGAUAGAUGGGCAUGCGUUCCAUUAGGUAGUUGGUGAGGUAACGGCUCACCAAGCCGACGAUGGAUAGGGAACUGAGAGGUUGGUCCCCCACACUGGUACUGAGACACGGACCAGACUCCUACGGGAGGCAGCAGUGAGGAAUAUUGGUCAAUGGGCGGGAGCCUGAACCAGCCAAGUCGCCGUGAAGGAAGAAGGAUCUAUGGUUCGUAAACUUCUUUUGCAGGGGAAUAAAGUGCAGGACGUGUCCUGUUUUGUAUGUACCCUGAGAAUAAGGAUCGGCUAACUCCGUGCCAGCCGCCGC
rnacentral:rRNA from 1 species